AGGACGAACGCUGGCGGCGUGCUUAACACAUGCAAGUCGAGCGGAAAGGCCCUUCGGGGUACUCGAGCGGCGAACGGGUGAGUAACACGUGAGCAACCUGCCCCUGGCUCUGGGAUAGCCUCCGGAAACGGGGAUUAAUACCGGACAUGACCUGCUGCCGCAUGGUGGCGGGUGGAAAGUUUUUCGGCCAGGGUGGGGCUCGCGGCCUAUCAGCUUGUUGGGGGGGUGACGGCCCACCAAGGCGACGACGGGUAGCCGGCCUGAGAGGGCGACCGGCCACACUGGGACUGAGACACGGCCCAGACUCCUACGGGAGGCAGCAGUGGGGAAUAUUGCGCAAUGGGCGGAAGCCUGACGCAGCGACGCCGCGUGCGGGAUGAAGGCCUUCGGGUUGUAAACCGCUUUCACCAGGGGCGAAGCGAGAGUGACGGUACCGUGGGGAAGAAGGCGCCGGCUAACUACGUGCCAGCAGCCGC
rnacentral:rRNA from 1 species